CGAACGCUGGCGGCGUGCUUAACACAUGCAAGUCGAACGGCAAGGCCCUGCUUUUGUGGGGUUCUCGAGUGGCGAACGGGUGAGUAACACGUGAGUAACCUGCCCUUGACUUUGGGAUAACUUCAGGAAACUGGGGCUAAUACCGGAUAGGAGCUCCUGCUGCAUGGUGGGGGUUGGAAAGUUUCGGCGGUUGGGGAUGGACUCGCGGCUUAUCAGCUUGUUGGUGGGGUAGUGGCUUACCAAGGCUUUGACGGGUAGCCGGCCUGAGAGGGUGACCGGCCACAUUGGGACUGAGAUACGGCCCAGACUCCUACGGGAGGCAGCAGUGGGGAAUAUUGCACAAUGGGCGGAAGCCUGAUGCAGCAACGCCGCGUGCGGGAUGACGGCCUUCGGGUUGUAAACCGCUUUCGCCUGUGACGAAGCGUGAGUGACGGUAAUGGGUAAAGAAGCACCGGCUAACUACGUG
rnacentral:rRNA from 1 species